rnacentral:rRNA from 1 species
GGGAUUAGAUACCCCACUAUGCUUAGCCUUAAACCUAGAUGUUUAAUUUACAAGCAACAUCCGCCAGGGUACUACAAGCGCUAGCUUAAAACCCAAAGGACUUGACGGUGUCUCAGACCCACCUAGAGGAGCCUGUUCUAGAACCGAUAAUCCCCGUUAAACCUCACCACCCCUUGUUUUCUCCGCCUAUAUACCGCCGUCGCAAGCUUACCCUGUGAAGGUCCCAUAGUAAGCAAAAUGGGUAAAUCCCAAAACGUCAGGUCGAGGUGUAGCUUACGAGGUGGGAAGAAAUGGGCUACAUUUUCUAUAUCAGAAUAAUACGAACAGCACUAUGAAAUUAGUGCUCGAAGGUGGAUUUAGUAGUAAAAAACAAAUAGAGAGUCUUUUUGAACCAGGCUCUGAGACGCGCACACACCGCCCC